rnacentral:lncRNA from 1 species
CGUGGACCACGAAACUUUCCUUGUAGUAUUCCGUCCACCAUACGUCACAUCUUUUACCGUCAAACCCUUGAGUGGUUGAACCAACUUACAGAUCUCUUACUAUUGGCGAUUCUUACCCACUAAUCCAACAAGGUUUAUGAUCUUGCUGGAUUCUUUGUCCUCGACCAAUUGCAGUGGUCGUACCCUUUCCUUGACUCGACCAACACCUUCAUCGGACAUUGCGCUCAUGAACCUAUAUCAUUUUUUUCUUUUGCUAGCUCUACGUGCUUAACUUCUUUGAGACAUUGCUUCCAUAGACAUUCUACCAUUACCACUCUUUACUCAACUUCUGCAUCCGAGAUGGUCCUAAGAAUAAAUCGUACUUAUUCUCGAUCAUCUGAUAGGUUCUUACCGUGGAUACUAUUGAAAUUUCGAAUUGCUUCUUCAUUUUUCUGAGCUACCAUCUUUCCUUCUUUCUGAUACGCUACCCUAAUAUCUGUUCAAUCAAGUUAACUUGACAUUGAUCCAACACGUCCAUUCCAAGAGCUUCUUUGAACCAUUUAUCUAGUUUCACGAUCAAACCAUUAAAGUUAUUUGCACUCUCCACCAUCUUUGGAACAUCUUGAUAAAUAACAUGCGGCUUGAAAAUCUCCAUGUAUGCUGCCCGACCAAAUCUGAUCUCUUCCCCGAACCCAUUUUUCUG